GCCAGUGUGAUGGAAUGGUAGACUUGAGAGAUUCAAAAUCUUUUGCCCUAGGGCGUACCGGUUCGAGCCCGGUCACUGGUACCA
rnacentral:tRNA from 1 species